rnacentral:rRNA from 1 species
ACGCUCGACACCUACGAGGCAGCAGUGGGGAAUAUUGCACAAUGGGGGAAACCCUGAUGCAGCGACGCCGCGUGAGCGAAGAAGUAUUUCGGUAUGUAAAGCUCUAUCAGCAGGGAAGAAACUGACGGUACCUGACUAAGAAGCACCGGCUAAAUACGUGCCAGCAGCCGGCGGUAAUCUGAGCGGGCUGGCAAGGC